rnacentral:rRNA from 1 species
UAGGGAAUCUUCGGCAAUGGGGGGAACCCUGACCGAGCAACGCCGCGUGAGUGAAGAAGGUUUUCGGAUCGUAAAGCUCUGUUGUUAAGGAAGAACGAGUGUGAGAAUGGAAAGUUCAUGCUGUGACGGUACUUAACCAGAAAGGGACGGCUAACUACGUGCCAGCAGCCGCGGUAAUACGUAGGUCCCGAGCGUUGUCCGGAUUUAUUGGGCGUAAAGCGAGCGCAGGCGGUUAGAAAAGUCUGAAGUGAAAGGCAGUGGCUCAACCAUUGUAGGCUUUGGAAACUGUUUAACAUGAGUGCAGAAGGGGAGAGUGGAAUUCCAUGUGUAGCGGUGAAAUGCGUAGAUAUAUGGGGGAACACCGGUGGCUAAAGCGGCUCUCUGGUCUGUAGCUGACGCUGAGGCUCGAAAGCGUGGGGAGCGAACAGG